rnacentral:rRNA from 1 species
UGGGGAAUAUUGCGCAAUGGACGAAAGUCUGACGCAGCAACGCCGCGUGAGGGAUGACGGCCUUCGGGUUGUAAACCUCUUUCAGCAGGGACGAAGCGAGAGUGACGGUACCUGCAGAAGAAGGACCGGCCAACUACGUGCCAGCAGCCGCGGUAAUACGUAGGGUCCGAGCGUUGUCCGGAAUUAUUGGGCGUAAAGGGCUCGUAGGCGGUCCGUCACGUCGGGAGUGAAAACUCGGAGCUUAACUCCGAGCCUGCUUCCGACUACGGGCAGACUAGAGGUAGGCAGGGGGAGAGCGGAACUCCUGGUGUAGCGGUGGAAUGCGCAGAUAUCAGGAAGAACACCGGUGGCGAAGGCGGCUCUCUGGGCCUUACCUGACGCUGAGGAGCGAAAGCGUGGGUAGCGAACAGGAUUAGAUACCCUGGUAGUCCACGCCGUAAACGUUGGGCGCUAGGUGUGGGGGACAGUUCCACGUCCUCCGUGCCGCAGCUAACGCAUUAAGCG